GGACGGAUAGCUCAGUUGGUUAGAGCACCGUGCUUAUGGGAUAGCUCUUCAAUUUGAAUUGUAUUCUAUGUGUCUCCACGGGGGUCGGGAGUUCAACUCUCCCUUCGUCCA
rnacentral:tRNA from 1 species